ACGUUUGUGCUGACUAUUGAUUGGCUAAAAUAAAAACGUAAACAAACACGCCCACUAUCUCGUAAAAAUGACUAUGACUGACAAUAGUCCGACAACCGUGUUAAAACAACAAAAUCUUGGGUUAACAAUCGGCGUGUCAUGUGCUCUACUGCUGCUGUAUCUGACAUUAGCCAUACUUGUGUAUCGACCACGGAGAACUCGUUCACAGGAUCCAGCGCCCUCUACAUCCGAAGUUAUGUAGUCCAGAAAAUGUAAAGUUGAUUCAAUCCUGCAAUGACUUGGCCCGGUCUGACAACUCUGACGAACGGUUACAACGUUGUUAUAGAUCAGGGAAAUAUAAUCAGGCUGGAUCGAACUCG